UACGAGUGCCCCGAGCGUUAUCCGGAAUCAUUGGGCGUAAAGGGUGUGUAGGUGGUUCUGCUAGUCCUUAGUUAAAUUCUUCGGCUUAACCGGGGACAUGCUAGGGAAACGGCAGAACUUGAGGAUGCGAGAGGUGUGUGGAACUCCCGGUGUAGCGGUGAAAUGCGUAGAUAUGCGGAGGAACACCGAUGGCGAAGGCAAUCCCCUGGGCCUGCACUGACGCUCAUGCACGAAAGCGUGGGGAGCAAACAGG
rnacentral:rRNA from 1 species